UAAAACUCCCGUGGCACGUCUCCUUCAAUGUAUUUCUUUUAUUCUCCUUUGUGUUAUUGGUGAAUCUUAGUAAAAUAUAUGCAUACAAAGAGAAGAAUAAUAGUAUCAUGGAAGUUGGAAUUUUCCUUUGAUUUCAUUUGCUUGCUAUUAAUCUUUUGAAUUCAAUACUCAUUUUCUAUUAUCAUUCUUUGUCAUUGUUCACAUUUAUCUGCUUUAUUUUCAGAAUACAAAAGCAAAGACAGCACCAAACAAAUUGUAAAAACUGAAUUGAACUUGAAACAAGGUACCCAGAUUUUGAACUUGGAAAUGGAUAAAAGAAUUCAACAAGGUAACUGGGAAAUAAACUUAGAACUGAGUACUUUAACUAGGUAAAACAAACACUAGUUGGAUAUGAGGGAGCAACAAAAUAUUCAUAGCAAAACAAACAAAACCAUAAAUCUGAGAAGUUGAAACACAACAGAAAUUUUCAUUUUCUUUUUCUUCAUUUUCAACACAAAGUUUCUUACAAGAACUUCCAACUGUCUCCACUCUCUCUACUUUCUCUCAAAUUCACUCUUCUUCCUUUCAUUGACAAUAAACAAAGAUUUUACACAAACCUUUUUCCGGUCUAGUCAAUAUCAAUUUUGACCCAAACACAACCUCACUAGCUACAUGAUAAGCCUCAAACCCUUAAAUCAUGAAUCAACUUUCCGCCUAAUCUAAACAAAAUAAUUACAAGUUGCUUAAAAUGAGAAAAUUGCAAUUUUCAAAGUUUUUAAGAAAAUUGCUAUCUGAUUCAACAUUAUCAUGUAGAACUUCAUAUAUUUUCUAUUGGAUUAUGGAGUAUACAUUGUUUUGUAACUAACACAGUGCGCAAAUUAAGAUUAGACUUGAAGACCUACAUUUUCCAUAUUUCACAAGGAUUUUUAUUUUUAGUUGGAUUAUUUAUUUUCCUAAAUAAGUUUUAUUUAUAUUUCCUAGUUUACAUAGGACUGCAAAUAUUAUUCUUAUUUAGUUUACAUCUUUUAAAUUAUUUCCUAUUUCCUACUUAGAUUAGGAUUUAAA
rnacentral:misc_RNA from 1 species